rnacentral:lncRNA from 1 species
UUUUUUAAGAAAAAGAUAAAUUUAUAAACUUCUAUUUUACACAUUUAAACAAAAUAAAAUUCUCUUUACAACCAUCAUAUCACUCACAAACUUCAAUAAACUUUCUUCACAAAUUCACUUUGAUAUACCAUAAUCCAAACAACCUCACUUUCUUUACACUUUCCUCUAAAAUCACUCCAAAUUCACUUUCUCAAAUCUUCUUCUCAAUCCAAUGGUUAUGCAAUAAAGGAGGGUAUUAUAAUAUUUUUGCUUAUAGUAUGGGUUGUAGUUAGUAAUCAUGGGGUGCAGUAUAAAAAGCCCUAUUUAAUAGCAAAAUUCUCUUCUCACCAGUCCAGACCAAAUCUCAAUGUUUAUUUGGUAUACUACAGGCCCAUAGAAAAACACAACCCUCCACUUUCAGUAUCUAUGAAAAACAGUUCAGUAUCAAAUUUAAGUCUACACCAAAGCUUCUUGGCAGUCACCCUAAGAAGAGAUUGAAAAGUGGCGGAAAAUUUUGAAUGAUUUUUUCAUAUCCUAAAAAGGAAGAAAAUAGUCAUAUGAGGUUAUAUACCUAAUGAUGAUGAUUAUAAUAAUAAAAGCUAAUGUAACUAAAUGAAAAUAUAAAACACAGAAUGGGUAAGAUCUGGUAAUUUAAUGUAAAGAAGUGACAAAGAGAAGGGAAGGAAGGAAGGAAGAAAAAAGGGUAAACCCUAGAAACUGAAUAGCCUUACACAGCAUAGGAGGAGUGAUGAUCCAAAAUAUGCUUUGAAGAAGUAGGGUCCAAAGGAAGGAUCCAAAAGGUACAAAAGAGAAUAUCCAAUUUUCCACAAUUAUGAUCACAGAUUGAAAGCAAUUUCCCUGUGCCAGGCGUUUCUCAAUCUCAACUUGUACAACAAAACAGUUUUCAUUACGCUCUUAACACUCUGGAUUUUAUCACCAUAUCACCAUUCCUCAAUAAUUUGCACACGAAUCUUCUAGAACUACCUAUCGUAAUCAAUUUCCAUACCAUAUAAUAAUUUACUGGGUUUAUCUUCAAAAUAUGCGAGAACUCUGACACAUUCAAGAUUACCACUACCGCUAAUAGUGUGCACAUAAAGUUGCCUUUUCUUACACGAACCAUAUACCAAAACAACAUAUUUCUUUGUUUUUUCAUUUGUCAAACGUUGACUACAGUGAUCUCUUGAAUCAUCUUUGAAUUGAAUUUGUAUAAGCCUAAUCCAAUCCAACUCAGGUCAUUUUCACACAUGAAUUUACACUCCAAAGUUAAUCCAAACGAACCAUUCAUAAUCAAAAUGGGAAUUGAAUUGUGUAAGAAUUGUCUCAAAAAUUGCAUUGAAGGCGUAGUGACAUGUUUUGAUUUUGAUGUGAUCAAUAAAAACAAGUAACUAGCAUGAAUGAAUGGAAUCAUUCUGAGUAGAUAAGGGUUACAUAC